UCCCUGGUGGCUAAGUUGAUAAAGAAUUUGCCUGCAAUGCAGGAGACCUGGGUUCAAUCCCUGGGUUGGGAA
rnacentral:tRNA from 1 species